UUUCAGACAGAUAUAAGAGACUGUUUUAAGUCAAUAAAUCCUUCAUAUUUAUUUUUAAAAACCUGCUAAUUCAACUAGUACUUAUUUUAUCAAUAUUUUUGAGUCUUAAAGGUGACUUGGAGCACAGCUUUGGUUGCUAGGUAACGGGCAGUGCCUGCUGAUCUGUGACGAUACACUCCAGAGGAUUUUGAAAUGGGUCAUUUUCCAGACACCAAAAAAUAUUAACUUAUUGCUGUAUGUCUUUUUUUUUUUUUAAGCGCUUUGGCUGUUUUUUU